AUGGAUUCACUAGUUGGUUGCCUCGAUUCGAAGAUUUCCGUGCAGUAUGACGAUUGGGUCUACUUGUUUGAAACGAUUUUAAGACAUUGCCGAGGCGACGCUGUUUAUCAAUCACCUGCUGUCAUGAACGUUGCGGAAGGGGAAGUUGCAGUGUUAAACUGCAACUAUACAGCUACAAGCACGAGCACCCCCGUAUUAAUCUGGUACCGUCAGUAUCCUAGAGGUUCUCUGGAGUUGCUUUUGGUCCGUUCGAAAUUCGACAACCUCCAAGACAAUAUUCCCCGACAACGGUUCACGGCACAGCUGAAUGAUUCGAGCAGAACCAUCCCACUGACAGUAUCAGAAACACAUCUAGGAGACACUGCCAUGUAUUACUGUGCUCUGAAGCCCACAGGGGUACAGAACUAG